GAAAGUAAUUAAGGGCGCAUGGCGGAUGCCUUGGCUCUCAGAGGCGAUGAAGGACGUGAUAAGCUGCGAUAAGCUUCGGGUAGGUGCAAAUAACCUUUUAUCCGGAGAUUUCCGAAUGGGGCAACCCAGCAUACUGAAGGUAUGUUAUCCUUUUAUAGGAAGCAAACGGGGUGAACUGAAACAUCUUAGUAACCCUAGGAGAAGAAAACAAUAGUGAUUCCCUAAGUAGUGGCGAGCGAACAGGGACUAGCCCAAACCAGUUUUGUUACGGCAAAAUUGGGGUUGUAGGACUACGUUGUGAUAGUUUAAAAUAUAGCAGAAGGUGUCUGGAAAGCACCACCAUAGAAGGUGAAAGUCCUGUAAGCGAAAUAUUGAUGACAUCUAGUAGUAUCCUGAGUAGUGCGAGACCGGAGAAAUCUUGUAUGAAUCUAGCGGCACCAUCCGCUAAGGCUAAAUACUCCUGAGAGACCGAUAGUGAACAAGUACCGUGAGGGAAAGGUGAAAAGUACCCUGAAUAAGGGAGUGAAAUAGAUCCUGAAACCAUACGCUUACAAGCGGUCGGAGCCCUUUGGGGUGACGGCGUGCCUUUUGCAUAAUGAGCCUACGAGUUACCGUUUCUAGCAAGGUUAAGCACUUCAGGUGCGGAUCCGUAGCGAAAGCGAGUCUGAAUAGGGCGUAUAGUUAGUGGCGGUAGACGCGAAACCGUGUGAUCUACCCAUGGGCAGGUUGAAGCUGUAGUAACAUACAGUGGAGGACCGAACCCGUUGACGUUGAAAAGUCUUGGGAUGACCUGUGGGUAGGGGUGAAAGGCCAAUCAAACUCGGAAAUAGCUCGUACUCCCCGAAAUGCAUUUAGGUGCAGCGUUGGUUAAAAGUUUUAUAGAGGUAGAGCUACUGAUUGGAUGCGGGGGCUUCACCGCCUACCAAUUCCUGACAAACUCCGAAUGCUAUAAAAUGAUUUUCAGCAGUGAGGGCAUGGGUGCUAAGGUCCAUGUCCGAGAGGGAAAGAACCCAGACCAUCAGCUAAGGUCCCCAAGUGUAUACUAAGUUGACCAAACGUGGUCCGAUUGCUUUGACAGCUAGGAUGUUGGCUUGGAAGCAGCCAUUCAUUUAAAGAGUGCGUAACAGCUCACUAGUCGAGCGAUCGGGCGUGGAUAAUAAUCGGGCAUAAGUAUAUCACCGAAGCUAUGGGAUUGAAAAAUCGGUAGGGGAGCAUUCUAAGGGCAUUGAAGAUAAUUCGACAAGAAUUAUUGGAGCGUUUAGAAAAGAAAAUGUAGGCAUAAGUAACGAUAAAGCGGGCGAGAAACCCGCUCACCAAUAGACUAAGGUUUCCCCAGCCAUGCUAAUCAGCUGGGGGUUAGUCGGGACCUAAGGCGAACCCAAAUGGGGUAGUCGAUGGACAACAGGUUAAUAUUCCUGUACUAGCUUUAACUGCGAUGGGGUGACGGAGAAGUGAAAGAUACGCGUGCUGACAGAAUAGCACGUCUAAGAAUGUAGGUAUAGAUUGGUAGGUAAAUCCGCCAGUCUGCUGAAAUUCGAGUGAUAACUGAUCCUUCUGGUGACGGAAGUAUCCUAAUCAUGCUCCCAAGAAAAACCUCUAAGCUUCAGGUUAUAGCUACCCGUACCGCAAACCGACACAGGUAGUCAAGAUGAGAAUUCUAAGGUGCUCGAGUGAUUCGUGGCUAAGGAACUAGGCAAAAUAGUCCUGUAACUUCGGGAGAAAGGACGCUUACGCAAGUAAGCCGCAGUAAAUAGGCCCAGGCGACUGUUUAUCAAAAACACAUGGCUUUGCUAAAUCGAAAGAUGAUGUAUAAGGCCUGACACCUGCCCGGUGCCGGAAGGUUAAAAGGAGGGCUUAGCUUCGGCGAAGGUCUGAAUUGAAGCCCCGGUAAACGGCGGCCGUAACUAUAACGGUCCUAAGGUAGCGAAAUUCCUUGUCGGGUAAGUUCCGAC
rnacentral:rRNA from 1 species